AUUGAACGCUGGCGGCAUGCCUUACACAUGCAAGUCGAACGGCAGCAUGGAGAGCUUGCUCUCUGAUGGCGAGUGGCGAACGGGUGAGUAAAGCAUCGGAACGUACCGUGUAGUGGGGGAUAACGUAGCGAAAGUUACGCUAAUACCGCAUACGCACUGAGGUGGAAAGCAGGGGAUCGUAAGACCUUGCGCUAUACGAGCGGCCGAUGUCAGAUUAGCUAGUUGGUAGGGUAAAGGCCUACCAAGGCGACGAGCUGUAGCGGGUCUGAGAGGAUGAUCCGCCACACGGGGACUAAGACACGGCCCAGACUCCUACGGGAGGAAGCAGUGGGGAAUUUUGGACAAUGGGGGCAACCCUGAUCCAGCCAUGCCGCGUGAGUGAAGAAGGCCUUCGGGUUGUAAAGCUCUUUCGGCCGGGAAGAAAUCGCACAGGCUAAUACCCUGUGUGGAUGACGGUACCGGCAUAAGAAGCACCGGCUAACUACGUGCCAGCCGCCGCCGUAA
rnacentral:rRNA from 1 species